rnacentral:rRNA from 1 species
UUCAGCAGUCAAGAAUAUUAGUCAAUGCUCGAAAGAGUGAACUAGCUAACUGAAAUCAAUUUAAAAUUGAUAACAUAAGGGAAAAUAAUGAUAUUACCUUAUUAUUAGUGUCGUCCAAAACUGGUGCCAGAAGACUCGGUAAGGCCAGAGACACAAACGUUAAUCGUCUUAAUCAGGCGUAAAGGGUUUGUAGGCGGCUUUUAAUUUACUUAUAAAAUUUUUAAAAUUUAAAUAAGUUAAGAAUAAAAGCUAGAAUCAAAUAGAGGAUAUAUCAAAUAAUGCUUAGAGUAGGUCUGAUAUCCAUAGAUACUAAGUAGAAUAUUAAAGGCGAAAGCUUUUUUCCAUAAAUGAUUGACGCUCAGAAACGAAGGUGAGGAUAGGAAAUAGGAUUAGAUACCCAAAAUACCCCUCUCUGUCAACGAUGAAUGGUAAUUAUUAAUAAUAAAUUUAUUAUUAAUGAUAAUGUUAACACGAUAACCAUUCCGCCUUGUGAGUACAACUGCAAAGUUGAAAACAAAAAAAUUAGUCGGUUUCGGAGCAAACGAAGUGAAGCAUGUUAUUUAAUUCA